rnacentral:rRNA from 1 species
UGAGUUUGAUCCUGGCUCAGAAUGAACGCUUGCGAUAGGCUUAACACAUGCAAGUUGAACAAAAAGACUAUUUUUUUGUAGCGAACGGGUGCGUACAAUGUAGGAAUUUACCUCUUUAAAAAAGUUAAAUGCUUUGAAAAAACAAGUUGUUGUAAAGAGAUAAGCCUGCAGAAGAUUAGAUAGUUGGUGUGGGAAGGGCACACCAAGUCAAAGAUCUUUAGCUGGUCUUAGCGGAUGAUCAGCCACACUGGGACUGAGACACGGCCCAGGCUCCCAUGGGAGACAGCAGUGAGGAAUCAUGGACAAUGCACGAAAGUGUGAUCCUGCUAUAUCGCGUGAGUGAUGAAGGGUAUAUUGCUUGUAAAACUCUUUCAGCAAGAACAUGCUUGCAUGUGAAUGGAUAGUGACGUGUCUUGCAAAAGAAGCCCCGGCUAAUAUCUGUGCCAGCAGCCGCGGUAAUACAGAAGGGGCAAGUGUUAUUCGGAAUAAUUGGGCGUAAAUGGCGUGUAGGUUGUGUUUCGUAGCUUUUUGUUAAAUCCCCAUUGUUAAAAUGGGUCACGCGAAAAGAACGGUUAUACUUGAGACUGAGAGAGGAAAGGGGAAUUUCUAGUGGAGAAGUUAAAUUCUUAGAUAUUAGAAGGAACACCAAAAGCGAAAGCACCUUUCUGGCUCAGAUCUGACACUGAGGCGCGAAGGCGUGGGGAGCGAAGCCGAUUAGAUACCGGCGUAGUCCACGCAGUCAACGAUGCUGUAUUCCUUUUUGGAAAACGAAAAAAUUUAAGUAUUCAUGUCUGUUUUUUUAGCAGACAUGAAUAGUUUUUUAUUGGCGAAGUAGCUCAGUUGGUUAGAGCAACGGAUUCAUACUCCGUGUGUCAGUGGUUCGAAUCCACUCCUCGUCAACUCAACAUGCUUCAUUUUUAAACUAUCUUUUGUUUUUUUAUUAAAGUAUUUUGGGGAUGCCUUGACUAUAUAUCAUGAAUGGGCGUUAAAUUAUGCGAAAAGUUGUAUCUGAGACAAACUGUGAGAGAGGUACAAAUACCCAUCGUGGAAAACCACAUUAAGAUUCACACAAAGGGAAUUGAAACAUCUUAGUACCUUUAGGAAAAGAAAUCAACCGAG